GUUAAGUCAGAUGUGAAAGCCCGGGGCUACAACCGUCGGAAUUGCUAUUUGAAACUGGCAGACUAGAGUACUGUAGAGGGGGUAGAAUUUCAGGUGUAGCGGUGAAAUGCGUAGAGAUCUGAAGGAAUACCGGUGGCGAAGGCGGCCCCCUGGACAGAUACUGACACUCAGAUGCGAAAGCGUGGGGAGCAAACAGGAUUAGAUACCCUGGUAG
rnacentral:rRNA from 1 species